rnacentral:lncRNA from 1 species
GAGAGGAAUAACAAUGAAAAUGAAAAAGGAAAUAAAACGGGAAAUGCAGAAGCAGAGGAUGUUAUUUUCAUUGGCAGGCCGGUGAGGUAGACAAAGCAGAAGUAGGAAAUAAAACUGACAAGCGAGAAACUGACAAAAUUCUGCCGGAUACGGGUAAUAUGCAUGUGGUAACAUCUACCCCAACAUCAGGUUCAAGGCCAACAUAGAGCCAGAGCCAAAGUAUACUAAGCAGCAAAGCAAGCACUCAAAAUCAUGGAUGACAGUAAGACCUCAAGCUGUUACAUAAACAAUUAGCAAAAAUAAAGGUACAGUCCA